AUUGAACGCUGGCGGCAGGCCUAACACAUGCAAGUCGAGCGGAUGAAGGGAGCUUGCUCCUGGAUUCAGCGGCGGACGGGUGAGUAAUGCCUAGGAAUCUGCCCGGUAGUGGGGGAUAACGUCCGGAAACGGGCGCUAAUACCGCAUACGUCCUGAGGGAGAAAGUGGGGGAUCUUCGGACCUCACGCUAUUAGAUGAGCCUAGGUCGGAUUAGCUAGUUGGUGGGGUAAAGGCCUACCAAGGCGACGAUCCGUAACUGGUCUGAGAGGAUGAUCAGUCACACUGGAACUGAGACACGGUCCAGACUCCUACGGGAGGCAGCAGUGGGGAAUAUUGGACAAUGGGCGAAAGCCUGAUCCAGCCAUGCCGCGUGUGUGAAGAAGGUCUUCGGAUUGUAAAGCACUUUAAGUUGGGAGGAAGGGCAGUAAGUUAAUACCUUGCUGUUUUGACGUUACCAACAGAAUAAGCACCGGCUAACUUCGUG
rnacentral:rRNA from 1 species